rnacentral:rRNA from 1 species
UGAGGAAUAUUGGUCAAUGGGCGAGAGCCUGAACCAGCCAAGUAGCGUGCAGGAUGACGGCCCUAUGGGUUGUAAACUGCUUUUAUAUGGGAAUAAAGUGAGGGACGUGUCCCUUAUUGCAUGUACCAUACGAAUAAGGACCGGCUAAUUCCGUGCCAGCAGCCGCGGUAAUACGGAAGGUCCAGGCGUUAUCCGGAUUUAUUGGGUUUAAAGGGAGCGUAGGCUGUUUGUUAAGCGCGUUGUGAAAUGUAAGAGCUCAACUUUUAGAUUGCAGCGCGAACUGGCAGACUUGAGUGCGCACAACGUAGGCGGAAUUCAUGGUGUAGCGGUGAAAUGCUUAGAUAUCAUGACGAACUCCGAUUGCGAAGGCAGCUUACGGGAGCGCAACUGACGCUAAAGCUCGAAGGUGCGGGUAUCGAACAGG